rnacentral:rRNA from 1 species
ACUUUACAUGCGGGAAACCGUGAUAAGGGAAUCUCGAGUGCCAGCAUAUAAUGUUGGCUGUCCAGAUGCCUAAAAAGCAUUUGUUAGCAAGGGCCGGGCAAGACCGGUGCCAGCCGCCGCGGUAACACCGGCGGCCCGAGUGGUAACCGUUUUUAUUGGGUCUAAAGGGUCUGUAGCCGGCCAUGUAAGUCCCUUGGGAAAUCUGGCAGCUCAACUGUCAGGCUGCUAGGGGAUACUGCUUGGCUUGGGACCGGGAGAGGUGAGAGGUACCUUGAGGGUAGGGGUGAAAUCUUGUGAUCCUCGGGGGACCACCAGUGGCGAAGGCGUCUCACCAGAACGGAUCCGACGGUAAGGGACGAAAGCUAGGGGCACGAACCGGAUUAGAUACCCGGGUAGUCCUAGCCGUAAACGAUGCUCGCUAGGUGUCAGUCACGGUGCGACCGUGAUUGGUGCCGUAGGGAAGCCGUGAAGCGAGCCACCUGGGAAGUACGGCCGCAAGGCUGAAACUUAAAGGAAUUGGCGGGGGAGCACUACAACGGGUGGAGCCUGCGGUUUAAUUGGAUUCAACGCCGGGAAGGGC